UGAGCACGGUGCUCGAUUUCGACCAAAUUACCAUGACCGCAUGGCUGGUAAUCUCUACAAAUAUUAUUUUAUGUGAUGAGACCCUGCUCCAUUUCACAGUCCGCGAAAAAGGCCUUGAACUUAAAUGCAGAUUUUUUCCGCAAUAUAUGAUAUCAGGCGCUUAAAGAAGAAAUGAUGAGCAUUUGCAUACAUCAUAACUCAACCAUAACAACUUUCGUCCAAGCAUGAAACAUUGUAGGACUUCAACAAAUUUGGUACCGUCGGAAAGCUGUGGUUCUCAGCUACAAUUCCUGUAGUUAUGGUCAAUGACCUCUUGUUAACGCACGGGCAGCCACAAGCGUUUAAAGUUGCAAAAUCAUAGUAAAAUUGAGCAUUUUCCGUU